rnacentral:sRNA from 1 species
UGACUGCAUUUCGGUUCAAGUAGUCUGC